GACGAACGCUGGCGGCGUGCUUAACACAUGCAAGUCGAACGGAAAGGCCCUGCUUUUGUGGGGUGCUCGAGGGGCGAACGGGUGAGUAACACGUGAGUAACCUGCUCUUGACUUUGGGAUAAGUUCAGGAAACUGGUGCUAAUACCGGAUAGGAGCUGCUGCUGCUUGGUGGGGGUUGGAAAGUUUGGGCGGUUGGGGAUGGACUCGCGGCUUAUCAGCUGGUUGGUGGGGUAGUGGCUUACCAAGGCUUUGACGGGUAGCCGGCCUGUGAGGGUGACCGGCCCCAUUGGGACUGAGAUACGACCCAGACUCCUACGGGAGGCAGCAGUGGGGAAUAUUGCACAAUGGGCGGAAGCCUGACGCAGCAACGCCGCGUGCGGGAUGACGGCCUUCGGGUUGUAAACCGCGUUCGCCUGUGACGAAGCGUGAGUGACGGUACUGGGUAAAGAAGCACCGGCUAACUACGUG
rnacentral:rRNA from 1 species